GGGUGCCUACGGGGGGCAGCAGUGGGGGAUAUUGCACAAUGGGGGGAACCCUGAUGCAGCGACGCCGCGUGGGUGAAGGAGCGUUUCGGCGCGUAAAGCCCUAUCGGCAGGGAAGAAGAUGACGGUACCUGACCAAGAAGCCCCGGCUAACUACGUGCCAGCAGCCGCGGUAAUACGUAGGGGGCAAGCGUUAUCCGGAUUUACUGGGUGUAAAGGGGGCGCAGACGGCGAUGCAAGCCAGGAGUGAAAGCCCGGGGCCCAACCCCGGGACUGCUCUUGGGACUGCGUGGCUGGAGUGCAGGGGG
rnacentral:rRNA from 1 species